rnacentral:rRNA from 1 species
UGGGGAAUAUUGGACAAUGGGCGCAAGCCUGAUCCAGCCAUGCCGCGUGAGUGAUGAAGGCCCUAGGGUUGUAAAGCUCUUUCACCGGUGAAGAUAAUGACGGUAACCGGAGAAGAAGCCCCGGCUAACUUCGUGCCAGCAGCCGCGGUAAUACGAAGGGGGCUAGCGUUGUUCGGAUUUACUGGGCGUAAAGCGCACGUAGGCGGACUUUUAAGUCAGGGGUGAAAUCCCGGGGCUCAACCCCGGAACUGCCUUUGAUACUGGUAGUCUUGAGUAUGGUAGAGGUGAGUGGAAUUCCGAGUGUAGGAGUGAAAUUCGUAGAUAUUCGGAGGAACACCAGUGGCGAAGGCGGCUCACUGGACCAUUACUGACGCUGAGGUGCGAAAGCGUGGGGAGCAAACAGG